rnacentral:snRNA from 11 species
AAAAAGGGCUUCUGCCAUGUUUGGUACAGGAGGAGUGGGGAUGACCCCUCCUUUUGCGGAAUCGCCAUCAAGAGAUUUCGGAAGCAUAAUUUUUAACACAGGGGCUGCUAGUGAUCACUUGUCCUGGCGCCCCG